rnacentral:rRNA from 1 species
AGAGUUUGAUCCUGGCUCAGAACGAACGCUGGCGGUGUGGAUUAGGCAUGCAAGUCGAACGAUGCUGAGGCCGCAAGGCCGAUGUAUAGUGGCGCAAGGGUGAGUAAUGCAUGGGUAAUUUACCCUACAGCUGGGGAUAACCUGGAGAAAUCCGGGCUAAUACCGAAUGAGACUUUCCAUUCGCAUGGAUGGAAAGUCAAAGGUACCGUUUCGACGGUUCCGCUGAAGGAGGAGCCCAUGUCCUAUUAGCUUGUUGGUGAGGUAAUGGCUCACCAAGGCUAUUGAUGGGUAGCCGGGCUGAGAGGUUGACCGGCCACACUGGGACUGAGACACUGCCCAGACUCCUACGGGAGGCUGCAGUCGAGAAGCUUCCGCAAUGGGCGAAAGCCUGACGGGGCGACGCCGCGUGGAGGAUGAAGGUCCUCGGAUUGUAAACUCCUGUCACAUGGGAAGAAAUCCGCCUCAGGUGGACUGACGGUACCAUGAGAGGAAGCCCUGGCUAACUCCGUGCCAGCAGCCGCGGUAACACGGGGAGGGCGAGCGUUGUUCGGAUUUACUGGGCGUAAAGGGCGUGUAGGUGUCCACGUAAGUCGAGUGUGAAAUCCCUCUGCUCAACGGAGGAACUGCACUCGAUACUGCGGGGAUAGAGUUCAGGAGAGGGGAGCGGAAUUCUCGGUGUAGCGGUGAAAUGCGUAGAUAUCGAGAAGAACACCUGUGGCGAAGGCGGCUCCCCAGCCUGAAACUGACACUGAUCCGCGAAAGCCAGGGGAGCGAACGGGAUUAGAUACCCCGGUAGUCCUGGCCGUAAACGAUGUGCACUUGGUGUCCUUCCGAGAGGUGGGGUGCCGAAGCUAACGCGUUAAGUGCACCGCCUGGGGAGUACGGCCGCAAGGCUGAAACUCAAAGGAAUUGACGGGGGCCCGUACAAGCGGUGGAGCAUGUGGCUCAAUUCGAUGCAACGCGAAGAACCUUACCGGGGCUUGACAUGACGGUCGUAUUCAGCGAAAGCUGAAGUCAGUUCGGCUGGACCGCCACAGGUGUUGCAUGGCUGUCGUCAGCUCGUGUCGUGAGAUGUUGGGUUAAGUCCCGCAACGAGCGCAACCCUCGCCCUUAGUUGCCAGCAUUCAGUUGGGCACUCUAAGGGGACUGCCGGUGAUAAGCCGAGAGGAAGGUGGGGAUGACGUCAAGUCCUCAUGGCCCUUACGGGCUGGGCUACACACGUGCUACAAUGGUGGUGACGGUGGGCAGCGAGACCGCGAGGUCGAGCUAAUCUCCAAAAGCCAUCUCAGUUCGGAUUGCACUCUGCAACUCAAGUGCAUGAAGUUGGAAUCGCUAGUAAUCGCAGAUCAGCAUGCUGCGGUGAAUACGUUCCCGGGCCUUGUACACACCGCCCGUCACACCAUGGGAGUUGGUUUUACCCGAAGGUAGUGCGCUAACCGCAAGGAGGCAGCUAACCACGGUAGGGUCAGCGACUGGGGUGAAGUCGUAACAAGGUAACC